CGUUAGCACAGUUACCGCCGGAGGGAUAGGUGGGAGUCUUUUUCGGGGCUGUGGGCAUCCAGGCCGCCCCGGGGACCGGGACAGUGGGCGCGCGGCGGUCUUGGGCGCACCCGGGGCACAGCCAUUGUCACUUGAUAGUUGAGGAGACAUUGAAAAGAGGAAAGGGGGGUGACCCGAGAACUGAGAAGCCCUGCAUAGCAGAACAGUGGUGUCACAGGCCACAGCAGGCUGAGCCAGUCAAGACAGGAGCUCAGUCCUGUUCCCCGGGUUGAGAUGCACCUCUUGGAUGUCUCCAAAGCACUGCAAACUCGACAUGUCUCAAAACCUGGGUAAUUCCUAAACUCAUCUGGCUGAGGUGCCUCCAAGCCAUCCUGUUCCAGGAGGUAGAAACAGUGGCAGCACACUUAACCCCUUUCUCUCACUCACCCACUGAAAACCUUUUGAAGCUGGAUGCUGGUGGCUCCUGUAAUCCUAGCUACUCAAGAGGCUG